UGGGGAAUAUUGCGCAAUGGACGAAAGUCUGACGCAGCGACGCCGCGUGAGGGAAGAAGGUCUUUGGAUCGUAAACCUCUGUCAGAAGGGAAGAAAUUAUAUUGUGCUAAUCAGCGAUAUAUUGACGGUACCUUCAAAGGAAGCACCGGCUAACUCCGUGCCAGCAGCCGCGGUAAUACGGAGGGUGCAAGCGUUAAUCGGAAUCACUGGGCGUAAAGCGCGCGUAGGCUGUCAAUUAAGUCAGGGGUGAAAUCCCACAGCUCAACUGUGGAACUGCCUUUGAUACUGGUUGACUUGAGUGUGAGAGAGGAUAGCAGAAUUCCAAGUGUAGGAGUGAAAUCCGUAGAUAUUUGGAGGAAUACCGGUGGCGAAGGCGGCUAUCUGGCUCACAACUGACGCUGAGGUGCGAAAGCGUGGGGAGCAAACA
rnacentral:rRNA from 1 species